CGUACAGGUCUCCGUAGGUGAACCUGCGGAGGNAUCAUUACACAAAUAUGAAGGCGGGCUGGAACCUCUCGGGGUUACAGCCUUGCUGAAUUAUUCACCCUUGUCUUUUGCGUACUUCUUGUUUCCUUGGUGGGUUCGCCCACCACUAGGACAAACAUAAACCCUUUGUAAUUGCAAUCAGCGUCAGUAACAAAUUAAUAAUUACAACUUUCAACAACGGAUCUCUUGGUUCUGGCAUCGAUGAAGAACGCAGCGAAAUGCGAUAAGUAGUGUGAAUUGCAGAAUUCAGUGAAUCAUCGAAUCUUUGAACGCACAUUGCGCCCUUUGGUAUUCCAAAGGGCAUGCCUGUUCGAGCGUCAUUUGUACCCUCAAGCUUUGCUUGGUGUUGGGCGUCUUGUCUCUAGCUUUGCUGGAGACUCGCCUUAAAGUAAUUGNCAGCCGGCCUACUGGUUUUGGAGCGCAGCACAAGUCGCACUCUCUAUCAGCAAAGGUCUAGNAUCCAUUAAGCCUUUUUUUCAACUUUUGACCUCGGAUCAGGUAGGGAUACCCGCUGAACUUAAGCAUAUC
rnacentral:rRNA from 1 species